AUCCAGCAAACGAGUUCCAAAUAGGACGAAACGCGCGUCCUGGAU
rnacentral:hammerhead_ribozyme from 1 species